GGUAAUGCCGGAUGCUCCGACUCCUCGCAUGGGGUGUCGGGAAAGAUUUCAUCGGUAUGGGAUGGGGUCGCGUCCUAUCAGGUAGUCGGCGGGGUAACGGCCCACCGAGCCUACGACGGGUAGCCGGCCUGAGAGGGCGACCGGCCACAUUGGGACUGAGAUACGGCCCAGACUCCUACGGGAGGCAGCAGUGGGGAAUAUUGCACAAUGGGCGCAAGCCUGAUGCAGCGACGCCGCGUGCGGGAUGACGGCCUUCGGGUUGUAAACCGCUUUUGAUCGGGAGCAAGCCUUCGGGUGAGUGUACCUUUCGAAUAAGCACCGGCUAACUACGUGCCAGCAGCCGCGGUAAUACGUAGGGUGCAAGCGUUAUCCGGAAUUAUUGGGCGUAAAGGGCUCGUAGGCGGUUCGUCGCGUCCGGUGUGAAAGUCCAUCGCUUAACGGUGGAUCUGCGCCGGGUACGGGCGGGCUGGAGUGCGGUAGGGGAGACUGGAAUUCCCGGUGUAACGGUGGAAUGUGUAGAUAUC
rnacentral:rRNA from 1 species